rnacentral:lncRNA from 12 species
AAAGGGGGUGGUGUUGUCACAGUGUGACAUGGGGACACAACCCAGCUGUGACAGCCACAUGGAUCCCGCUCUAGGGCCAUGAAAAUGUGUAUUUGGGGUACAAGCAAGGCCCUGCUCUCAAUGGAAGCAGAUCCCCAUCCAAAGGCCCAAAACACGGCCAAAAAGCAGCCUGGGGAGCGCAUGCCAAGGCUUUGUGUUACCUCCCAGAGCAGGAGAUCCGAGGCAUUGUUGGACUGCAGCGAGGCUUUUAGGCACAGACGCCGUGUUAUUAGCAGAGGGCCCGGCCCCCGCGCGGGCACGGGCGCGGCCGUGGCUCCUGGGCCCGGCCCUCACGCGGCCCGGCCCUCCCAACACCAGAACCGCUUCAGAAACGGCCGUGGCACGAGGGAAAAUGAUCCAAUCGUCAUGCAAAUGCCUUCUCCAGGUAAUGUGGUGCAGAGAGAAACAGCUCUGCUGUGCAGUGAGACUGGGAGCGCUGCGGGUGAGAAG